UCUAUGAUGGCGGCUGCGGGAAGGGUUAGGAGUUGUGGCGCCGGGAGAAUGGCGCACCAUCCGCCGCCAUCCGCCGCCAUCCGCCUUCCCCGGGGGCUCUCCCGCCGCAUCGGCGUCCCGAUGGGCCGUGAAGGGGCAGCGCGGCCGCGGGAGAGCCUUGUUCCCUCUCUCCUUCCUUCCUCCCGGGCCGGGCCCGGCGUGCGGGGAAGAUGGCGGGGCCGCCUCGGCAGCAGCCUGGCCUGGAAGGUGAUCCCAUCGCUGGAUGGAUGGUGGCUCCUCGGAUAGCGGCGUUGGGCAGGGUUGUUGGUGUUCCAGAGCUCGCUCCGCCGAUGGCCGGAUAGUCCCAAGGAAUUAACUCAUUUAGUGGAAAAGGCCGAGAGCAUGUGAGCCCCUGUCCCUGGUGAAGGGGUUCGGUUGUGUCCCUGGGGCUGGAGAGGUGACACGGGGCAGGUGUAAGUGGAGCCGUUUCCCCGAGGGUUUGGUGCAAGAGCUUGUUCUUUCCCAGCCUGGCUCCUUCCCGGGCCUGGAGCUCCCCCACCUGGGAACAGCAGCUCCAGGUGUUGCUCAGGCUCCUGUUGAACCUGAAGAGUGGACCCUUCUGUGGGCUUUUCUCUGGAGAAGAGCUUGGAUAUAAAGUAUUUUGAGGGUGAAUAAAUGGAAUUGCUUGAAA